CCUACGGGUGGCAGCAGUGAGGAAUAUUGGUCAAUGGACGAAAGUCUGAACCAGCCAAGUAGCGUGCAGGAUGACUGCCCUAUGGGUUGUAAACUUCUUUUAUAUGAGAAUAAAAUGUUCCACGUGUGGGAUUUUGUAUGUACCAUAUGAAUAAGGAUCGGCUAACUCCGUGCCAGCAGCCGCGGUAAUACGGAGGAUCCGAGCGUUAUCCGGAUUUAUUGGGUUUAAAGGGAGCGUAGGUGGAUUGUUAAGUCAGUUGUGAAAGUUUGCGGCUUAACCGUAAAAUUGCAGUUGAAACUGGCAGUCUUGAGUACAGUAGAGGUAGGCGGAAUGUGUGGUGUAGCGGUGAAAUGCUUAGAUAUCACGAAGAACUCCGAUUGCGAAGGCAGUUCACUGGACUGCAACUGACACUGAGGCUCGAAAGUGUGGGUAUCAAACAGGAUUAGAUACCCCUGUAGUC
rnacentral:rRNA from 1 species